rnacentral:rRNA from 1 species
GUGUCAGCAGCCGCGGUAAUACGGAGGGUGCAAGCGUUAAUCGGAAUUACUGGGCGUAAAGCGCGCGUAGGUGGCUAAGUCAGCCAGGUGUGAAAGCCCCGGGCUCAACCUGGGAACGGCAUCUGGAACUGCUUGGCUAGAGUGCAGGAGAGGAAGGUAGAAUUCCCGGUGUAGCGGUGAAAUGCGUAGAGAUCGGGAGGAAUACCAGUGGCGAAGGCGGCCUUCUGGACUGACACUGACACUGAGGUGCGAAAGCGUGGGUAGCAAACAGGAUUAGAUACCCUGGUAGUCCACGCCGUAAACGAUGUCAACUAGCCGUUGGGUCCCUUGAGGACUUAGUGGCGCAGCUAACGCAAUAAGUUGACCGCCUGGGGAGUACGGCCGCAAGGUUAAAACUUAAAUGAAUUGACGGGG